rnacentral:rRNA from 1 species
AGGAACCUGCCUUUCAGAGGGGGACAACAGUUGGAAACGACUGCUAAUACCGCAUAACGCAUAGGUAUCGCAUGGUAUCUGUGCCAAAGAUUUAUCGCUGAGAGAUGGCCUCGCGUCUGAUUAGCUAGUUGGUAGGGUAACGGCCUACCAAGGCGACGAUCAGUAGCCGGACUGAGAGGUUGGCCGGCCACAUUGGGACUGAGAUACGGCCCAGACUCCUACGGGAGGCAGCAGUGGGGAAUAUUGGGCAAUGGGCGCAAGCCUGACCCAGCAACGCCGCGUGAAGGAAGAAGGCUUUCGGGUUGUAAACUUCUUUUAAGAGGGAAGAGCAGAAGACGGUACCUCUUGAAUAAGCUCCGGCUAACUACGUGCCAGCAGCCGCGGUAAUACGUAGGGAGCGAGCGUUGUCCGGAUUUACUGGGUGUAAAGGGCGUGCAGCCGGGAGUACAAGUCAGAUGUGAAAUCCCGCGGCUCAACCGCGGAACUGCAUUUGAAACUGUAUUUCUUGAGUACUGGAGAGGCAGACGGAAUUCCUAGUGUAGCGGUGAAAUGCGUAGAUAUUUAGGAGGAACACCAGUGGGCGAAGGCGGUCUGCUGGACAGCAACUGACGGGGGAGGCGNNGAANGNUNGGGGANGCAAAMCAGGAUUAGAUACCCCUGGUAGUCCACGCUGUAAACGAUGGAAUACUAGGUGU